rnacentral:rRNA from 1 species
AUUGAACGCUGGCGGCAGGCCUAACACAUGCAAGUCGAACGAGUGGCGGACGGGUGAGUAAUGCUUGGGAAUCUGCCUUAUGGAGGGGGAUAACUACUGGAACCUGUAGCUAAUACCGCAUACCAUAGGAUGAGCCCAGGUGUGAUUAGGUAGUUGGUGGGGUAAAGGCUCACCCAGGCGACGAUCUCUAGCGGGUCUGAGAGGAUGACCAGCCACACUGGGACUGAGACACGGUCCAGACUCCUACGGGAGGCAGCAGUGGGGAAUAUUGCGCAAUGGGGGCAAGCCUGAUGCAGCCAUGCCGCGUGAAUGAAGAAGGCCUUCGGGUUGUAAAGUUCUUUCGGUAGGGAGGCGUUAACUGCAGAAGAAGCACCGGCUAACUCCGUGCCAGCAGCCGCGGUAAUAG